UACGGAGGAUGCAAGCGUUAUCCGGAAUGAUUGGGCGUAAAGCGUCCGCAGGUGGCUAUGUAAGUCUGCUGUUAAAGAGUGAGGCUCAACCUCAUAAGAGCAGUGGAAACUACAUGGCUAGAGUGCGUUCGGGGCAGAGGGAAUUCCCGGUGUAGAGGUGAAAUUCGUAGAUAUCGGGAGGAACACCAGGUGGCGAAGGCGGCGACCUGGACGGACACUGACGCUGAGACGCGAAAGCGUGGGGAGCAAACAGG
rnacentral:rRNA from 1 species